UAAGCUCUAUCGGACAUUAGCAGCAACAAUCAUAAGUGUUCUUGUUGUAAUUGAUGUAUGUUUGUAUAUGAAACUGCAUAUACAUAUGUAUGUUCGUGCAAUACUGUGGAUCAAAUAAUACGCAAAAAUUAUGUCGUCGUAUCUACGAGUAAUUGCCGCGCAUAGAAAGUGUUAAAGUGUUUAAUUGAAAUUUAUUGAGUAAAAGUAUUGUAUUCAAAUUAAUAAAUAACUUUUUGUAAUUUUAAAGAUAUAGAAGACGGUGGAACAUAAACAAUAUUGUGCAACUGUGUAAUUUAAUAUGGAAAAUUGUCAUCGGAGGGACAAAAACAAUUACAUAUAGCAACUCCUAACUGUUUUAAUGCUGUGCUUUUAUGAGGCGCAUGCUGUUUACUCCAAGCAAGCGGUUUAUAAGAAGCAAAAAGGUGAACAUAAAUAUUUGCGGUAGCCAUUAAGAUGUUAUGAAAUGGAGCGAUCAAAAUGCUGCCGAAUAUAUUUACAAACAGCUUUAACUUUUGACUUUACCGCAUCCGAAGCAAUGCAAUAACGUUUAAGACGGAAGGACAGACGGCAAGUGGCUACACUUUGACUACGUUAAACAACUGUUGGAGCAACGAUGCCACAGCGCUUAUUCGACUCACCGCGCGUGGUUUCCAGGUGAGUGAAAGUAACAUCAUAAUAUUAAUAUUUUCCGGCUUUCUUGAUGUGAGUGGCAAAGUGUGGCGGUGGGUGAGAAGGGGCAGCCGCGCCACUUUUCAUUGCGUCAAAAUGGCCGCGAAAUUAAUUUUAAAACUUUUACCCAUUUCAUUUUGUUGCCAUUUCACUCGUGUGCGGCCUAACAUUUCAUUUCAAUUUAAUUUGCUUUUACAACUUUGGCUUCGACCGUGCACUUUUUUUCGUAAGAGAUUUUUUCGCUUUAAUUUUUUUUUGAUAUUUGCCGCUUGAAUAUUAUUUGUUUUUAUUACCGUUUACUCGCCUGAAAUGUAUUUUUAUUGCUUUCUCCAUCGUUGAUAGUUCUGUAAGUAUUUA